rnacentral:misc_RNA from 1 species
GAUGAAGAACGUAGCGAAAUGCGAUAAGUAAUGUGAAUUGCAGAAUCCAGUGAAUCAUCGAAUCUUUGAACGCACAUUGCGCCCGCCAGCAUUCUGGCGGGCAUGCCUGUCCGAGCGUCAUUUCAACCCUCAAACCCCGGGUUUGGUGUUGGACCCAAGUUGUGUGAACAACUGGUCUCAAAGACAAUGACGGCGUCCGUGGGACCCUCGGUGCAACGAGCUUUUAGGAGCACGCAUCGAGUUGCAAGGACCUUCCGGGCCGGUCUCCUUUACCAUUUUACAAGGUUGACCUCGGAUCAGGUAGGAAUACCCGCUGAACUUAAGCAUAUCAAUAAGCGGAGGA